rnacentral:rRNA from 1 species
AGAGUUUGAUCCUGGCUCAGGAUUAACGCUGGCGGCAUGCCUAAUACAUGCAAGUCGAACGAAGAUAUUUCGGUAUCUUAGUGGCGAACGGGUGAGUAACACGUAGGUAACCAACCUAAUAGAGAGGGAUAACAGGAAGAAAUUUCUGCUAAUACCAAAUGAGAAAUAUGUGAGGCAUCUCAUAUAUUUGAAAGGGUCCU